CCAGCCUGGAGCUCCCUGUGAGCUGUGCCCGGGAUGAUCCAUCAGAGCCUGGCACAUCCUGGCACGAGGCAGGGAGGGCACAGGAGCUUGGACGCGCUCCCAGCUGGCAGCAGGGUGUGACAGCCACAGCCAGCCCCUGCAGGGGAUGGAUGGAUGGAUGGAUGGAUGGAUGGAUGGAUGGAUGGAUGGAUGGAUGGAUGGAGCACGGCCAGAAACGCAGGAUUCCUGUGUCCCCUCCAAAGGACACGCUGCACAGCCGUCCCACAAGCCUGGGGAUGGAUUUUUCUGCUGCCUGGAGCACGGGCUGGAAAUGCCCCACUGUAAAGUGCCAGAUCCUGCCCUUGGAUUCUGCUUCCCAACAGCUCCAGGACAUCUCUGCAGCCACCCCAGGAGCCACUGAAUUAUUGUGCUCAGUGUUCAGCCUCUCACACCCCAACCCUGCAAUCCCCAGCAAUAGAAAUACAGGAGAUAAAGAAAUAAAGAGAUGCAGUCUGGAUUGGCUUUCUUGGCUCUAGAAAAGGAACAAACAAACAAACAAACAAAUAAAUAA